rnacentral:rRNA from 1 species
UACGGAAGGCAGCAGGGGGAAUAUUGCACAAUGGGCGAAAGCCUGAUGCAGCUAUGCCGCGUGUAUGAAGAAGGCCUUAGGGUUGUAAAGUACUUUCAUCGGGGAGGAAAAAACAAAACUAAUAAUUUUAUUUCUUGACGUUACCCGAAAAAGAAGCACCGGCUAACUCCGUGCCAGCAGCCGCGGUAAUACGGAGGGUGCUAGCGUUAAUCAGAAUUACUGGGCGUAAAGAGCACGUAGGUGGUUUUUUAAGUCAGAUGUGAAAUCCCUGGGCUUUAACCUAGGAACUGCAUUUUGAAACUGAAAUACUAGAGUAUCGUAGAGGGAGGUAGAAUUCUAGGUGUAGCGGUGAAAUGCGUAGAUAUCUGGAGGAAUACCUGUGGCGAAAGCGGCCUCCUAAACGAAUACUGACACUGAGGGUGCGAAAGCGUGGGGAGCAAACAGGGAUUAGAUACCCGU